AUUGAACGCUGGCGGCAGGCCUAACACAUGCAAGUCGAGCGAGCGGCGGACGGGUGAGUAAUGUCUGGGAAACUGCCUGAUGGAGGGGGAUAACUACUGGAAACGGUAGCUAAUACCGCAUACCAUCAGAUUUGCCCAGAUGGGAUUAGCUAGUAGGUGGGGUAACGGCUCACCUAGGCGACGAGCCCUAGCUGGUCUGAGGGGAUGACCAGCAACACUGGAAUUGAGACACGGUCCAGACUCAUAGGAGGGGCAGCAGUGGGGAAUAUUGCACAAUGGGGGCAAGCCUGUUGCAGACAGGCCGGGUGUGUGAAGAAGGCCUUCGGGUUGUAAAGCACUUUCAGCGGGGAGGCGUUACCCGAAGAAGAAGCACCGGCUAACUCCGUGCCAGCAGCCGCGGUAAUAC
rnacentral:rRNA from 1 species